CAAAGAUUAAGCCAUGCAUGUCUAAGUAAAAGUAAAUUUUUACAGCGAAACUGCGAAUGGCUCAUUAAAUCAGUUAUGAUCCACAUGGCAAAUACUUUACUACUGGAUAACCGUGGUAAUUCUAGAGCUAAUACAUGCAGAAAAGGCCCGACUUCGGAAGGGUUGCACUUAUUAGAUCAAAACCAUCCUGGGUAAAACCAGUUCUUUGGUGACUCAUAAUAAUUAAGCUGAUCGCAUGCCUUAUGGCGGCGACGGUACAUUCGAUUUUCUGCCCUAUCAGGCUGUUGAUUGUAAGGUAGUGGCUUACAAUGGCGACCACGGGUAACGGGGAAUUAGGGUUCGAUUCCGGAGAGGGAGCCUGAGAAACGGCUACCACAUCCAAGGAAGGCAGCAGGCGCGCAAAUUACCCAAUCCCAACUCGGGGAGGUAGUGACAAUAAAUAACAAUGCAGGGCCAUUCGGCCUUGCAAUUGGAAUGAGUACAAUUUAAAUCCCUUAACGAGGAUCAAUUGGAGGGCAAGUCUGGUGCCAGCAGCCGCGGUAAUUCCAGCUCCAAAAGCGUAUAUUAAAGUUGUUGCAGUUAAAACGUCCGUAGUCGAAUUUACGCUUGAUGACUCGAUCGCUGGUCCUUCAUUGGGCCAGAUUGGUUGUGGUCUCGGCGAUAAAGCUUGGUUCAUAGCGGUGUUGACUUCGGUUGGCGUCGUUUUCUGGCCAAGCGUAUUACCAUGAGCAAAUCAGAAUGCUCAAAGUAGGCCUACGCGCCUGAAUGUGUUAGCAUGGAAUAAUAAAAUAGGACUCGAGUCUUGUUUUGUUGGUUUACUUGACAUUGAGAAAUGAUGAAUAGGAACGGUUGGGGGCAUUUGUAUUCAAUCGCUAGAGGUGAAAUUCUUGGAUUGAUUGAAGACAAACUACUGCGAAAGCAUUUGACCCAGGACGUUUUCAUUGAUCAGGGACUAAAGUUGAGGGAUCGAAGACGAUUAGAUACCGUCGUAGUCUUAACCACAAACUAUGCCGACUAGCGAUUGGGCCUUGACCUUUGGUCAGGUUCAGCAGCUUAGCGAAAGUAAAGUCUUUGGGUUCUGGGGGGAGUAUGGGACGCAAGGCUGAAACUUAAAGGAAUUGACGGAAGGGCACCACCAGGAGUGGAGCCUGCGGU
rnacentral:rRNA from 1 species